rnacentral:rRNA from 1 species
UACGUAGGGUGCGAGCGUUGUCCGGAAUUAUUGGGCGUAAAGAGCGUGUAGGCGGCUUUACAGGUCCGUUGUGAAAACUCGAGGCUCAACCUCGAGACGCCGGUGGAAACCGUAAGGCUAGAGUCCGGAAGAGGAGAGUGGAAUUCCUGGUGUAGCGGUGAAAUGCGCAGAUAUCAGGAAGAACACCCGUGGCGAAGGCGGCUCUCUGGGACGGUACUGACGCUAAGGCGCGAAAGCGUGGGGAGCGAACAGG